GCACCUUUCAAGUGAGUGGCGAACGGGUGAGUAACACGUGGAUAACCUACCUCAAGGUUGGGGAUAACAUUUGGAAACAGAUGCUAAUACCGAAUAAAACUUAGUAUCGCAUGAUACCAGGUUAAAAGGCGCUACGGCGUCACCUAGAGAUGGAUCCGCGGUGCAUUAGUUAGUUGGUGGGGUAAAGGCUUACCAAGACAAUGAUGCAUAGCCGAGUUGAGAGACUGAUCGGCCACAUUGGGACUGAGACACGGCCCAAACUCCUACGGGAGGCUGCAGUAGGGAAUCUUCCACAAUGGGCGAAAGCCUGAUGGAGCAACGCCGCGUGUGUGAUGAAGGCUUUCGGGUCGUAAAGCACUGUUGUAUGGGAAGAACAGCUAGAGUAGGGAAUGACUUUAGUUUGACGGUACCAUACCAGAAAGGGACGGCUAAACACGUGCCAGCAGCCGCGGUAAUACGUAUGUCCCGAGCGUUAUCCGGAUUUAUUGGGCGUAAAGCGAGCGCAGACGGUUAAUUAAGUCUGAUGUGAAAGCCCGGAGCUCAACUCCGGAAAGGCAUUGGAAACUGGUUAACUUGAGUGCAGUAGAGGUAAGUGGAACUCCAUGUGUAGCGGUGGAAUGCGUAGAUAUAUGGAAGAACACCAGCGGCGAAGGCGGCUUACUGGACUGUAACUGACGUUGAGGCUCGAA
rnacentral:rRNA from 1 species